GGGUCGUUAGCUCAGUUGGUUAGAGCAGCGGACUUUUAAUCCGUUGGUCGCCGUCGUCGCGCGCGACGACCCACCA
rnacentral:tRNA from 1 species